rnacentral:tRNA from 1 species
GGCAGGAUGGCUGUGUUGUUAAGGCUUUGGACUUAAGAUCCAAUGUCCGCAUGCGUUCAAACCCCACUUCUGGCA